GAUGAACGCUGGCGGCGUGCCUAAUACAUGCAAGUCGAGCGAACAGACGAGGAGCUUGCUCCUUUGAUGUUAGCGGCGGACGGGUGAGUAACACGUGGGUAACCUACCUAUAAGACUGGGAUAACUUCGGGAAACCGGAGCUAAUACCGGAUAAUAUUUCGAACCGCAUGGUUCGAUAGUGAAAGAUGGCUUUGCUAUCACUUGUAGAUGGACCUGCGCCGUAUUAGCUAGUUGGUAAGGUAACGGCUUACCAAGGCAACGAUACGUAGCCGACCUGAGAGGGUGAUCGGCCGCACUGGAACUGAGACACGGUCCAGACUCCUACGGGAGGCAGCAGUAGGGAAUCUUCCGCAAUGGGCGAAAGCCUGACGGAGCAACGCCGCGUGAGUGAUGAAGGUCUUCGGAUCGUAAAACUCUGUUAUUAGGGAAGAACAAACGUGUAAGUAACUGUGCACGUCUUGACGGUACCUAAUCAGAAAGCCACGGCUAACUACGUGCCAGCAGCCGCGGUAAUACGUAGGUGGCAAGCGUUAUCCGGAAUUAUUGGGCGUAAAGCGCGCGUAGGCGGUUUUUUAGUCUGAUGUGAAAGCCCCGCCUUUCCGUGGAGGGUCAUUGGAAACUGGAAAACUUGAGUGCAUAAGAGGAAAGUGGAAUUCCAUGUGUAGCGGUGAAAUGCGCAGAGAUAUGGAGGAACACCAGUGGCGAAGGCGACUUUCUGGUCUGUAACUGACGCUGAUGUGCGAAAGCGUGGGGAUCAAACAGGAUUAGAUACCCUGGUAGUCCACGCCGUAAACGAUGAGUGCUAAGUGUUAGGGGGUUUCCGCCCCUUAGUGCUGCAGCUAACGCAUUAAGCACUCCGCCUGGGGAGUACGACCGCAAGGUUGAAACUCAAAGGAAUUGACGGGGACCCGCACAAGCGGUGGAGCAUGUGGUUUAAUUCGAAGCAACGCGAAGAACCUUACCAAAUCUUGACAUCCUUUGACCCUUCUAGAGAUAGAAGUUUCCCCUUCGGGGGACAAAGUGACAGGUGGUGCAUGGUUGUCGUCAGCUCGUGUCGUGAGAUGUUGGGUUAAGUCCCGCAACGAGCGCAACCCUUAAGCUUAGUUGCCAUCAUUAAGUUGGGCACUCUAAGUUGACUGCCGGUGACAAACCGGAGGAAGGUGGGGAUGACGUCAAAUCAUCAUGCCCCUUAUGAUUUGGGCUACACACGUGCUACAAUGGACAAUACAAAGGGCAGCGAAACCGCGAGGUCAAGCAAAUCCCAUAAAGUUGUUCUCAGUUCGGAUUGUAGUCUGCAACUCGACUACAUGAAGCUGGAAUCGCUAGUAAUCGUAGAUCAGCAUGCUACGGUGAAUACGUUCCCGGGUCU
rnacentral:rRNA from 1 species